CCUCAAUUCACCAACGGCAGCGGCGGUAAUCCCUUCUCAAAUUCCUUUACAUUUCUCUCAAUCUCUCCCUCUCUCUCCCUCUCCCCCGAUCUCUUUCUUCCCCUUUCCCUUUCUCUCCUCCCCUUUCUUCUUCCUGCUUUUCCUCUGUUCUGUCCAAACUGUCUAGUCUUCAAACUCUCCUUGGUCUUCUCUCUCCGCAGCCUGAGCUAAGCUGCUGGUUCUGCAAUCCUGCCAUGAGAAAAAGGAAGUUGUGGUCUUGAAGUUCCAUGUUCUGCAUUCUUACUAUCCAUUGGGUUCGCUGGUGUCGAUUGUGAAUCCUGUGCAACCUACUUUAGCGACAGAAGCCAUGGGUGUUGAGACAUUCACAUUGAAUAUUACGAGGGUUAAUGGCGAUUGAUACGGGGAUCGUUCAAACAGUUUUUUAUCAAAACCCAGUUUCCAUCUUUGUAGUUUCUAAGGUUUUAUUGCUGAGAGCGAUUUUUGGGAAGGAAGCCCUUGGGGCGACGAGGAGUGGAAAUGCAGGGGUUUCCGCGAGGAGAUCCGAUCGGGUGCAGCUGUUACUGGCGUACAAAGAACCGCCCUGGCUGUUGCUCUCUACUGUAUAGCAUUGUACUAGUGGGACUUGGACCUUAGAUAUGUCCUAUAUGCUUUGAUUCGUAAUAAAAAAGUUUGCGGUACGCAUUCCUUUACUUUUAGGCUUUGGUCUUGCCCGCUCGCAAGACGAGCUUGCAAGCCUCUCACCCUCGGCAAGCCACAACAGAGACGAAGCGAAGAAAGCUUGAACAGGAAGACCACUACCAUUGAUGAGCGACUGCAUCAUCGACGCAAGGAAAAACCACUUGGUGUUUGUAACCUCUUCAUCGACGGGAUCUUCUGCAGACAGUGGAACUGAGCCAUUUGACCUUUUCAGAAAUGUGAAAGAAUCUGAGGUAAAAGGGAUUAUUCGCUGUUGUUCGUUUAUUGUAAGUGAUGAAGGAAGAUUUGGCCCAACCUCGCAAAUCACGGCACGUGGCAAAAAAGGCAAGUAGCUCGGCACUC